AUUGAACGCUGGCGGCAGGCCUAACACAUGCAAGUCGAGCGGCAGCGGAAAGUAGCUUGCUACUUUGCCGGCGAGCGGCGGACGGGUGAGUAAUGUCUGGGAAACUGCCUGAUGGAGGGGGAUAACUACUGGAAACGGUAGCUAAUACCGCAUAACGUCGCAAGACCAAAGAGGGGGACCUUCGGGCCUCUUGCCAUCAGAUGUGCCCAGAUGGGAUUAGCUAGUAGGUGGGGUAACGGCUCACCUAGGCGACGAUCCCUAGCUGGUCUGAGAGGAUGACCAGCCACACUGGAACUGAGACACGGUCCAGACGCCUACGGGAGGCAGCAGUGGGGAAUAUUGCACAAUGGGCGCAAGCCUGAUGCAGCCAUGCCGCGUGUAUGAAGAAGGCCUUCGGGUUGUAAAGCACUUUCAGUGGGGAGGAAGGUGUUGAGGUUAAUAACCUCAGCAAUUGACGUUACCCGCAGAAGAAGCACCGGCUAACUCCGUGCCAGCAGCCGCGGUAAUAC
rnacentral:rRNA from 1 species